rnacentral:rRNA from 1 species
UACGAAGGGGGCUAGCGUUGCUCGGAAUCACUGGGCGUAAAGCGCACGUAGGCGGAUUGCUAAGUCAGGGGUGAAAUCCUGGAGCUCAACUCCAGAACUGCCUUUGAUACUGGCGAUCUCGAGUCCGGGAGAGGUGAGUGGAGCUGCGAGUGUAGAGGUGAAAUUCGUAGAUAUUCGGAAGAACACCAGUGGCGAAGGCGGCUCACUGGCCCGGUACUGACGCUGAGACGCGAAAGCGUGGGGAGCGAACAGG